AACCAUAAUCGUCAUAUUCAAUUCAAGGAUUUGAAUGAAAUAAUCCAAAACGUUAACACUAAGGUCUAUAGGAAAACAAUUGGUUGGUUGGUCUCUACAGAGUAUGUCAUGUUAUCGUCUAAUUCUGUUGAUGCAUGGUAUCCCUGUAGUAGUUGGUGGCUACCUCACUGAACAUCAUAUGGGAUUGAGGCACUUGGGUUACUUGUUUUGCCUAAAAACACAAUAAAAGAGAUGUGUUUGAUCUCAGCUUCCAGAGAAACAGAGGGGUUGGGUGGAGAGAGAGGGAUGGGUGGAGAGGGAGAUAGGGGAUAGAAAGAGAGGGAGAGGGAUGGAGUGGAGAGAGAGUAAUAUAUAUUUAUAUAAAAAUGAUAUUCUUUGAUGUUAAUCUUUGUAUUUAUCUGAUCUGGUUGUUCAGUGUGAUGUGGAUGUUUUUAAGGAUGAUGUUGGAUGUCUGUUCCUCAAUAAAAUUCACCAACACAACCAAUUACUAUUGAUAGUUACUGUCUACUUUAUCUGGUAAUAAGUCCAUGAUCGGUAAAAAACACCACCUAUGUCUAUAGCAUUUGUUGAAAUACAAACUAGGGCCGUUUUCAUUGAUCAUGGUCAAAAUGGUUGGAUCAGAGGUGUUCAUUUAUGAAAUCAUUUGUAUUUAGACGAGAAUUGGAGUGACUUUUAUGGCCGUCAAUAACAUCUACAUGUCCAUCAAGAUAUAUGUCUGAAAUAUUACAUUUAAAAACGAAUGAUCUUGUUUGUCCACAUAAAUGAACAUGUUUUUUUAUUGAUAAAUAAUUUGUGUUGACAGGUUGAUGAUAGUGGCAGUUGUUGAUUGUAGUAGAUCAUAAUAGAUUUCAGUGUAAAUAAAUUAAUUAUUCUGCCGUGUAAAUAAAGGUGGAGAAUUUAUUCAGAUAUACAGGUAUGUUGGUGAUUAAUGUUUAGGUAGUUGUUAAUCCAGGUUUGUUUUUACUGAAAAUAUUGGUUCAAAUUUUAACAAUGCACCAAAUAUUCGAAACAUUUGUUUAUGGAAAUCAUAGAAAGGACCAUAAUUUGCUGCAAUUAAGUUUUUUCAAGAGGUUUGCAAAAAUUAUGAAAAAGGUCUUCUUAAAAUAACAACCUAAUUUUAGUAUCUUCUCUGUCUGCGUAUUUUUACGGAUAUUGUAUAUUUUCCUACUAAUCAAGUUACAUAUUGACUUGGUGAAAAACCAAUAGAUUUGUGAUAUUAACACACAUAGAACUUAUCCGGAGGAUUUGUUAUCGAGUCAGUGAGGGAUAGACUCGUAGAUAUGUAUAUAAACAGACUACAUCAUCACUUCAUUUGUUAUUGAAUGAAACUGAAACUUUGUGUUUCAACCACAUGGGGUCAAAAAUGAGGUUGUUCUUACUAUGAAUAGAUAUUUUACCAUCCCCACUCUACUGACGUCAUUAAUUGGCCAUUUGUCCUGAAACUUCAUACAAAUAUUCACAGCCAUCGUUUCUUGCACGUUUUUGCAUUUCACCCACCUGGGAUCAGAAAUAAGGUCAAUGUAACUAUAAAUAGAUUGACAUUAGUAAUUUGUCCUUGGCGUGAAAUGAUUCAUAUCAUCUGUAUUGCCUUGUUACUUUUGCGGUGUAAAAAUCUGUUUGAAAGAAUCAUUUGAAGAUAAGAUGUUCUUGAAAUUCAGUAAAAAAUGUCAUAGAUUUAAUCUUGGCAUAAUGUUUUAGAUGAAGAUAAGAGUAAUGUAUUACUCUUUUGCCUGAAAGUUUUGUUUUGCUCAGUUUCUUAGAAAGAAGGAUGUAGUUUGGCACCAAAGUCAAAAUAGGAUUGUAUUGUUUUAAAUAUAUUAUUCCUGUUGUUUGUAUGAUCUUCUGUCUGUUUGUCCAUAUGUCUGUUUGUCUAUAUGUCUGUUUGUCCAUAUGACUUUGUCCAUAUGUCUGUUUGUCCAUCUGUCUGGGUGUCCAUCUGUCUGUUCGUCCAUAUGACUUUGUCCAUAUGUCUGUUUGUCCAUCUGUCUGGGUGUCCAUCUGUCUGUUUGUCCAUAUGACUUUGUCCAUCUGUCUGGGUGUCCAUCUGUCUGUGAUGAUUGAUCAUGGGACAUAAGUUUCCUGAAAGGUGGACCAAAAAUCUGCACUAAAAAAAUAUUUAUCAAUCUAGUCAGGCCCCAGCUUCAUGAACAUCCCUUAACAUUGGAAAAUAUUCUUAACUUUAGUUUGUAGGUUUUUUUUGUUUAUACAAAUUUUGAUUAUCUCCUUUGUUGCCUCCCUGGUAUCAAUACUUUGGACCUUUAGCAUCACUGACAAGUCCUGAAAGGAUGAAAUGACUGUAUGAUACAGGUUUUUUUAUCUAUUUAUUAUACAGCUUGUAUUAAAGUAUGUUGAUAUCUUGUAGCAUUGUAUAGUCUGAAAUCCUUGGAACAUUCUCCCUUAGUCAGUCCUUUCCUGUAGAAGUUAAGGAAUAUCUUUACAUUAAGUUUGAGAAACUGGGGCUAAGUUAAACAAAUUAUGUAAUAUACUCAGCUUAAUGUACUGCUAAAAUAAUAUCACCACUAAAAUAAAGUUGCUGCUAAAAUAUUGUCCCCCUAAUAUACAUGUAAUGUAAGAAAUAUUUCGUUUUGGUUGUAAUCGGUGGCAUAUCUUUAUGUGAAUCCCAUCAGUACUAUAUAUAUUGUAUAUACAUGGUGUCAGAUUUUGUAAAUUGUGAAAAUUUUCAACUUUAGAAUGUUGAAUUUUCUUUUAUAUUUUCUAAUUAUCUGACUUUUCUGUUGGUGUUGUAGAUAUAUUAAGAGCACAGGGAUUUGACACAAAUUCCCAGGGCUAUUACACAUAUACUGACCAUGGGGUUGACAAUUGGUACCAAAUCCCUGUGAUCCUGGGAUAAAUGCAAUAUGUUCGAGUUGGAUGGAAAUAUUGUUUUUUUGGUACAUACUCUUUAAUGUAUUUUACCAAAUUCAAGAGCCUUUGUGAGUCUUGUGGUCUGCAAAUGUACAUAAAGAUUUAAGUUUUUAGACCAGAAAAAAUGAACUUGGAAUGUAAAGUUACUUGUAAUACCAGGAAUGCAUCCAAGUGGAAAUAUUUUGUCCUUCAUUUUCUUUUUGUGAACAUACCAAAAUAAUGUACAAAUUUUACCCAGCAUACAAAUUUAGAGGCUAUGUUAUAAUACAAAAUGUACAGAGUUUUUUUUUUUACCUGAAAUGAAAAUGAAAAUGAAAAAUCUGAAGAUACUCCUCUUCUUUUGCUUUGGGAAACAGUCUGUUUUUGGCUGAAAUGUUGCAAUGUUGAAAGAGAACAUAGUACCAUAAAGGUAUUGUUUUCUGUGAUCAUUGUUUUCUGUGAUCAUUGUUUUCUGUGAUCAUUGGUUUCUGUGAUCAUUGUUUUCUGUGAUCAUUGGUUUCUGUGAUCAUUGUUUUCUGUGAUCAUUGGUUUCUGUGAUCAUUGUUUUCUGUGAUCUUCUGUUGGAAAUUGUCACGGUAUUUGUUACCUCAUAUGUGUAUAUCAUGAGAUUUGUGUUAAGGGUGUAUGUUACCUUUAUAAUCAGAUGACUUUCUUAGGGUUAAGUGUCAUAUCUUAGUCCUCUACUGGUAAAACUUGGUGGGGGGGGGGGGGGACCAAACAACAAGGCAAGUUUGACUGUUUCCUCUCUGUCCAUCUUGCACGUACAUGUAUGUAGGUAUAUAUGUACGUGAUGCCAAAUUGUGUCAGCGCUCUAGCAGCUUUGUUCCUUGAGGGAUUUGAUCAAACUUCACACAAUGACAAAGGAUCAUAAUAUCUUAGACAUGGUCAAGGUUCAGAGUUUUUGGGUCAAUACUAUUUUUACUGGGGUCAAUAGGGGACAGGUAUCACUUGAACUCAACAAACUGUUGUUUACAUUAUGUUCAUGUUUAUUGGCCCAGGUAGAGGGGGAAACUGCCUUACAUUAGAAAAUUGGUCAAAAUAAAAUACAUAGUAAUAUAUACAGUG